CGAAGCUGGCGAAGCCAGGAGCACCCGCGGGACUUAAGCAUAUCAGUACGCGGCGGAGAAGAAACGAAGACGGACUCCCGGAGUAGCGGCGAGCGAAAGGGGACGAGCCCACAGCGAAAGGAAUGGUGUGCUGAAAGAAUGAAGGGAGGGAAGCGAGUUGAAGCUCGGCCAGAGAGGGUGGAAGCCCCGUACCGCACCGCGCGGCCGCAAGGCUGGUUAUUCGGGGAGGAGUAGGCGUGCUUGGGCGUGCACGGCGAAGGGUGGAGCGAUCCAUCGAAGGCUAAGUACGCGGACAGGCCGAUAGAGGAGAAGUACCGCGAGGGAAAGGAGAAAAGAGACGCGGGAGCGGAGUGAAAAGGCGCGAAACAGGGGGCGGAAGCGCGCGCGGCACGGGCCAGCGCGCGGCCCGUCUUGAAACACGGACCAAGGAGCGCUGCGCGCCCGCGAGCAGAACGUCAGAGGACGGGACGCGGCGGGAGCGACCGGCCGGGGAGGCGGAGAGCGGGCGCGCAGCGGCCCGAAAGGCAGUGAACUACGCCUGGCGAGAGCGACGGCGGGGGAAGCCCCGGCAGAGGCUCGGAGGGGGUCUGACGUGCAAAUCGAUCCCGGGAGCUGGGCGUAGCGGCGAAAGACCCAUCGAACUGCCUGGUAGCUGGUUCCGGGCGAAAUGUCCCGCAGGACAGCGGCCGCGGGCGCGUGGCGCGCGGUAGAGCGGACGAGGGGGCCUCGAACUGCGAACGCGCGCGCAGCGGCGCGGCCAGUGGGCGCGCUCUGGUAAGCAGGGCGCGCGAGGCGGGUCGAACCGAGCGCGGGGAUAAGGGGCCGCGGGGAGGCGGAGAGAGAAGGCCGGGCGCGGGUCAGGACAGCAGGGCGGUGGCCAUGGAGGUCGGCAUCCGGGAAGAAGUGUGUCGCAACAUACCUGCCGAACCCGCGCGCGCCGAAAAUGGACGGCGCUGCAGCUCCCCCCGACGCCCCGCCGCCACAGGGAGUGGCGAGUAGCCCGGCGGCGCGCAAGCGGGGAAGGGCGGCGGAGACGGCGCCUGGAGGGCGCGCGCGUGCGGAUCUUGGAGGGAGUAGCGGACUUGGGCGCCAAGGGCCGAGGAGGAGAAGGGUUUGGGGCACCAGAGAGCCGGGCCUAAGCGGCGCAGGCCGCGCCGCGAAGGGGAAGCGCAGCGCCGCCCGGUGGACGGCAGCGGAGAGCGCGCCUUGACGCCCGCGGCACGCGGGCCCGGGAGGGCAUCCCGGGGCGAGCGCGCUCGGACGCGUGGAGCGGCGAAGAGGCGCAAGCGCGGGGCCGCGGGCGCGUGAAAAGAGGCGCGCGGCGUUCGGGCGCCCGUACCGAAACCGCAGCAGGUCUCCGAGGCGCAGAGCCUCUGGCGCGGGAGAGCGCGGGUAAGGGAAUUCGGCAAAAUAGACGCGUAACUUCGGGAGAAGCGUUGGCUCUGGCGGCGCUAGAACCGGAACGCCCGGGGAGUCUGACUGUCUAAUUAAAACAUAGCCUCCCGAGCCCCAGUGGGUGCGCAGGGGAGGUGAGUUCUGCCCAGUGCCUAGAGAGUUACCGCGGGGCGAGCCGCCGAAGCGCGGGUAAACGGCGGGAGUAACUAUGACUCUCUUAAGGUAGCCAAACGCCUCGUCAUCUAAUUAGUGACGCGCAUGAAUGGACCAACGAGAUUCCCGCUGUCCCUACCCGCCUCCAGCGAAACCACAGCCAGGGGAACGGGCCUGGGCGCGCAGCGGGGAAAGAAGACCCUGUUGAGCUUGACUCUAGCCGGCGCAGGCCGGGGGCGGCGCGCACGUAGCCAGGUGGGAGGGUUCGCCCGCGCGUGAAAGACCACUGGCGCGCAGCUGCCCGGUCUCAGGGGCGCGCUCGGAAACGAGCAGCCCUGAC
rfam:Nematocida sp. JTm2807 19, whole genome shotgun sequence.